AAAAAAAAGGAGGGAGAGAGGGGAAGGAGCGAUUUUCGGCAGCAAGGCCGGUCACCGGACCAUCGUCCGUCGCCUGCGCCGGCCACCAUACACGGUGGCCAGGAAGGUAAAAAUUUUACUUUUUUUUCUUUUUUUUUUUUGUAUUUUUGUUAUGUAAUAUAUAUAUAGAUUUGUAGUAGAUGAGAAAAAAAGAAAGUUCGGUUUCUUUUUUUUUAAAGUAAAAUCACAUUGUGCUUGAAUCUAGUUUUUGUUGUUUUGCCCUUCGAAUUGCUGUUUUGUUCUUGCUUUGGAGUCCCUGUUUUAUUUGUAUUUAGAAAUACUAUGUUUGUAUUGACUGGAAAUUUGGCCCCCCCUUUCCCUUACAACAUUUUGAUUCGACUUUUAUAGCCUAUUUACAAGCUAUUUUUCUAUUGUUUUCUGUCCUUUCGUGUGUUUCUCUUGCAGGGCAGUUGAGCGGCACUGCAGAGUUGGUGGCCGGUGCACAGGAGGUGUCAGGGGGUAGGUGGUUGCUGAAGUGUUCGGGUGGUGGCUAGGGUUAGAUAGCUUUUUUUUUUAAUUUGGUUUAGGGUUUGGGUGUAAUUGGGCUGUUGGGUAUUUGGGUUUUUUUGAUGGGUUAGUGGGUUUAGGUUGUAAAUGGGUUUAGGGGUUUGUAUUGUUAGUUGGGUUAUUUGGGUUAUUGGGUAGUGGUUAGGUUGUAAAUGGGUUUAGGGGUUAGUUAUCUUGGGUCCAUGCCCGGGCAAAUAUUGGGCUAUACAAUAUCGUUUAAAAGAAAUGUCAUUCUUGAUACUGAUUACGAUGAUUUGGUUAUGUCAUUUAUAUACACGUGUUUUCUACAUGUUUAGCAUAUAGUUAUCGUCAAAUUACAUUAAAAUUUAUGUCUGAACUUUAUAUUGAGACAAUAAAUUCUCCAACCACAUUCAAGUACACAUACAUAAAAUCCAUCACUGACUCAUCUAUAGAGAAUUAUUCACUAAAUCACAUAAGACCAAAUGAAU
rnacentral:lncRNA from 1 species